UUGUUCCAGGUCAGGCUUGUUUCGGGGGAGAAAUCCUGACACAAAUUCGGAGGAAAAGGAGGCGCAUUCAGUUGGGAAGUGAAGACGCCAAAUGUUGACUCUCAGGACCUUCUAGAAGAAGGAGCUGGGACCCACUCUCCGAGUCCUGCUGGAACCAGAACCAGAGGUGAAAACACAAUGUGACCUCCACAUCGCACAUGCUUUCAUGAACUUUCAGUGGGGAUUUUUUCCCAACAAUGUUGUAGUCGUUGGAAACAACUGGAAACCUGACAGGUAUGUUGUGUCGGGAACUGCCCGUUUCUUGAAUGUUCAAUAUUAUUCCUGCAACAGAAUUUGUUACAGUUAUCCUCUCUUGUCUUUAUUGGAGGGAAUCUCAUCAAUAAUAUCUUAAAAACAUCCUCGUUACCUUAUCCCCUUUUCAGUUGAGAUUUGGCAUGUUUUCUGAUUUCUCAUGAACUCGUGAACAUCUGAAAUACUUUUAAAUUGAUUGCAGGUUUUACUAAAAGCAGAUUCACGGCGUCCCUCCCAGACUGCUCAUGGUCAAAGAACAUACCAAGGCCACUUCUCAGUAUGGUCAGAGAUUCACAGACCUGCCUGAGUUUUACAUUCACCACACAUACUUUCAAGGCUCCUUUCUCUCCCUGUAAGAAAGAAGACAGAUCUUCUGAUGCGCAG